CAGCAGCCACGGUAAUACAGAGGAUGCAAGCGUUAUCCGGAAUGAUUGGGCGUAAAGCGUCUGUAGGUGGCUUUUCAAGUCCGCCGUCAAAUCCCAGGGCUCAACCCUGGACAGGCGGUGGAAACUACCAAGCUGGAGUACGGUAGGGGCAGAGGGAAUUUCCAGUGGAGCGGUGAAAUGCGUUGAGAUCGGAAAGAACACCAACAGCGAAAGCACUCUGCUGGGCCGACACUGACACUGAGAGACGAAAGCUAGGGGAGCAAAUGGGAUUAGAUACCCGUGUAGUCCCUGUCUCUUAUAC
rnacentral:rRNA from 1 species